rnacentral:rRNA from 1 species
GAGUUAGUAUAAAAUUCAAAAUUAUUAAUAGUUAAGUUCUUUAAAAUUAAAGAUUUUGGCGGUAUUUUAGUCUUUUCAGAGGAACCUGUUCUGUAAUUGAUAAUCCACGAUUAUUUUUACUUUAAUUAUUAAUUUAUAUAUCAUCGUUAAUGAAUAUUUUAAAAGAAUAGAAAUAUUCAAAAUUUUAAAUAAAAAUUUAAAUCAGAUCAAGGUGUAGUUUAUAUUAAAGAAGAAAUGGGUUACAUUAAAUUUAUUUUUUGGAUAAUUAAUUUAAAAUUAAAUUUGAAAUUGGAUUUGAAAGUAAUUAAUUUUAUAUAUUUUUAAUGAUUUAAGCUCUAAAAUAUG